CCGACCGACAAGCUGUCUUCAUCAUUGUAUGUUAGGAGGACCUCUGACCGUACCUCAUUGAAAAGGUGCCACUCUGCCUAGUGACUGUAAACUAAACAAAAAUACUAACGUGAAGGUACUGAAGGAGAAGAUAACUUCCCAGUGUCUGGACAGAAGCUCAUAUAUGCUGGCAAAAUCCUGCAAGAUGACACACCUAUUAAAGACUACAAAAUUGACGAGAAGAAUUUCGUUGUAGUUAUGGUAUCGAAGGCAAAGUCUGCCACAGCUGCUUCAACACCUUCCUCAGAGGCAUCCAAGGCCCCUGUCCAGGACUCUGGGUCGUCUGCGGGCCCGGCCCCU